rfam:Kluyvera ascorbata ATCC 33433 GKAS.assembly.016, whole genome shotgun sequence.
CUUACCGGAGGCUGUAUGGAUCCCGAUCCCACCCGUCUCUCCAACUGGAGAGUAACUUUCCGGUAAGCCAGCUUUCGCUGCCUUGCCGAUGAUGUGAGGCAGUGACACGUC